rnacentral:rRNA from 1 species
GAGUUUUAUCGUGGCUCAGAUUGAACGCUGGCGGCAUGCCUUACACAUGCAAGUCGAACGGCAGCACGGGAGCUUGCUCCUGGUGGCGAGUGGCGAACGGGUGAGUAAUGCAUCGGAACGUAUCCUGGAGUGGGGGAUAACGUAGCGAAAGUUACGCUAAUACCGCAUAUUCUGUGAGCAGGAAAGCGGGGGACCUUCGGGCCUCGCGCUCUUGGAGCGGCCGAUGUCGGAUUAGCUAGUUGGUGAGGUAAAGGCUCACCAAGGCGACGAUCCGUAGCAGGUCUGAGAGGAUGAUCUGCCACACUGGAACUGAGACACGGUCCAGACUCCUACGGGAGGCAGCAGUGGGGAAUUUUGGACAAUGGGGGCAACCCUGAUCCAGCCAUGCCGCGUGAGUGAAGAA